rnacentral:rRNA from 1 species
UACGUAGGGUGCGAGCGUUGUCCGGAAUUAUUGGGCGUAAAGGGCUCGUAGGCGGUCUGUUGCGUCGGGAGUGAAAACUCAGGGCUUAACCCUGAGCCUGCUUCCGAUACGGGCAGACUAGAGUGUGGUAGGGGAGAUCGGAAUUCCUGGUGUAGCGGUGGAAUGCGCAGAUAUCAGGAGGAACACCGGUGGCGAAGGCGGAUCUCUGGGCCAUAACUGACGCUGAGGAGCGAAAGCAUGGGGAGCGAACAGG